rnacentral:rRNA from 1 species
CAAAGGGUAAGCGAAGGGGCGAGCCUGAUCCAGCCAUGCCGCGUGUGUGAAGAAGGUCUUCGGAUUGUAAAGCACUUUAAGUUGGGAGGAAGGGUUGUAAAUUAAUACUCUGCUGUUUUGACGUUACCGACAGAAUAAGCACCGGCUAACUCUGUGCCAGCAGCCGCGGUAAUACAGAGGGUGCAAGCGUUAAUCGGAAUUACUGGGCGUAAAGCGCGCGUAGGUGGUUCGUUA